rnacentral:rRNA from 1 species
UACAGAGGUCCCAAGCGUUGUUCGGAUUCACUGGGCGUAAAGGGUGCGUAGGCGGUCGGGUAAGUCUGAUGUGAAAUCUCACAGCUUAACUGUGAAACUGCAUUGGAUACUAUUCGGCUUGAGAGUUGGAGGGGGGACUGGAAUUCUUGGUGUAGCAGUGAAAUGACGUAGAUAUCAAGAGGAACACCAGUGGCGAAGGCGAGUCCCUGGACAACUUCUGACGCUGAGGCACGAAAGCUAGGGGAGCAAACAGG